rnacentral:rRNA from 1 species
AUUGAACGCUGGCGGCAGGCCUAACACAUGCAAGUCGAGCGAGCGGCGGUCGGGUGAGUAAUGUAUGGGGACUGCCUGAUAGAGGGGGAUAACUACUGGAAACGCUAUCUAAUACCGCAUCCUAUCGGCUACCCCAUACGGGAUUAGCUAGUAGGUGAGGUAAUGGCUCACCAAGGCGACGAUCCCUAGCUGGUCUGAGAGGAUGAUCAGCCACACUGGGACUGAGACACGGCCCAGACUCCUACGGAGGCAGCAGUGGGGAAUAUUGCACAAUGGGCGAAAGCCUGAUGCAGCCAUGCCGCGUGUAUGAAGAAGGCCUUAGGGUUGUAAAGUACUUUAGGUGGGGAGGCGUUACCGACAGAAGAAGCACCGGCUAACUACGUGCCAGCAGCCGCGGUAAUUC